AUGACCUCUUCUAUGCAAACAUACAAUUCCAAGACAUGAAGUGAUCUUCAUUCCUCUGCAAUUUUUACAAGAGCCAUUCAACAGUGUUUUGUAGAAGAUUUAGUACCUUGAAUGUUACCAACCACCUGAAGAACCCAGGAUACAUGAGAAGUCUUCUGUGUGACAUCUUCUAUGCUCAGUAUUGAACAUAUUUCAAAGCAAGGAAAUCACAAGUUAUUGCAGUUGGUGGUAGCACCUCCUGGUUUGGGAAACUCGAGGUGAUUGCUCCAUGAGUUCGUUUUGAAUGUGUCAACGAAAAAUGAACUUUGGCUAUAUGUACUAUUCUGGCUGGGUGUCAAUCGUCAUGUUCAGAUGAACCUAUUGACAACCUCUUUUUAAUUUAAAUUGGAGCCAAAGUAGUAAUAGUGUUCUAGGAACAAAAAAGUACGAAAAGAUGAAAAAUAGUAUCAUUUAUUCAUAUAAAGUUUCAAAUAUAUC